rnacentral:rRNA from 1 species
GAGUUUGAUCGUGGCUCAGAUUGAACGCUGGCGGCAUGCCUUACACAUGCAAGUCGAACGGCAGCACGGGAGCUUGCUCCUGGUGGCGAGUGGCGAACGGGUGAGUAAUGCAUCGGAACGUAUCCUGGAGUGGGGGAUAACGUAGCGAAAGUUACGCUAAUACCGCAUAUUCUGUGAGCAGGAAAGCGGGGGACCUUCGGGCCUCGCGCUCUUGGAGCGGCCGAUGUCGGAUUAGCUAGUUGGUGAGGUAAAGGCUCACCAAGGCGACGAUCCGUAGCAGGUCUGAGAGGAUGAUCUGCCACACUGGAACUGAGACACGGUCCAGACUCCUACGGGAGGCAGCAGUGGGGAAUUUUGGACAAUGGGGGCAACCCUGAUCCAGCCACGCCGCGUGAGUGAAGAAGGCCUUCGGUUGUAAG